AGUGAACGCUGGCGGUAGGCCUAACACAUGCAAGUCGAACGGCAGCACAGUAAGAGCUUGCUCUUACGGGUGGCGAGUGGCGGACAGGUGAGGAAUACAUCGGAAUCUACUUUUUCGUGGGGGAUAACGUAGGGAAACUUACGCUAAUACCGCAUACGACCUACGGGUGAAAGCAGGGGAUCUUCGGACCUUGCGCGAUUGAAUGAGUCGAUGUCGGAUUAGCUAGUUGGCGGGGUAAAGGCCCACCAAGGCGACGAUCCGUAGCUGGUCUGAGAGGAUGAUCAGCCACACUGGAACUGAGACACGGUCCAGACUCCUACGGGAGGCAGCAGUGGGGAAUAUUGGACAAUGGGCGCAAGCCUGAUCCAGCCAUACCGCGUGGGUGAAGAAGGCCUUCGGGUUGUAAAGCCCUUUUGUUGGGAAAGAAAAGCAGCAGGUUAAUACCCCGCUGUUCUGACGGUACCCAAAGAAUAAGCACCGGCUAACUUCGUG
rnacentral:rRNA from 1 species